rnacentral:misc_RNA from 1 species
GAUGAAGAACGUAGCGAAAUGCGAUAAGUAAUGUGAAUUGCAGAAUUCAGUGAAUCAUCGAAUCUUUGAACGCACAUUGCGCCCCUUGGUAUUCCAUGGGGCAUGCCUGUUCGAGCGUCAUUUGUACCUUCAAGCUUUGCUUGGUGUUGGGUGUUUGUCCUGAGGGACUCGCCUUAAAGUAAUUGGCAGCCAGUGUUUGGUUUUGAAGCGCAGCACAAGUCGCGAUUCAAAGCUAUACGCCCGCUUCCACAAGCCUUUUUCACUUUUGACCUCGGAUCAGGUAGGGAUACCCGCUGAACUUAAGCAUAUCAAUAAGCGGAGGA